GAAAUGAUAUCAAAUGGAAUGUAUCCAUAGAUAUGUUAUUUAAAUGUGUUAUGUAAAUGAGUUGGUUAUCGGAUAUUUUACAACGACUUCAAACGUGACUCAGCCACUCCAAACCUGACGGCGUUGACAGCCAUUGUUAGGAUACUGUGCCGGUGGCCCACCAUGAGGUUCACACGAAAACACACAGACAAGUUGAUUUUGUGUCAUGCGCAGCACAGCCUUUGGCAAUUUCCAUAAAUUCACCUGUCACGCCAACUGCAACUGCAGCGGGCAUGAACAAGUUGACAAAAUGUCAGCAACAGGUGUGCACCUGCUUGGGAAAAGCUGAAAAUAUUGAGCGUCGACAGUAAAACGAGUAAAACGGACGACAUUUCCGAGUAGUUUGGAGAAACAGGUCGUGUUUGACAAGCGUAAAUCAACCGGUUCGGUGAGUCGGUUGAGAGUUAAUCCAAUUCCCGUGACCGGUCUGCGCUACUUAGAAUCUCUUCAUUCUCGUCAGCGCUCAAACACCGAGAGAAAGCAAAAUUACUGCCACGUUUUCAUCGACAUAUCAUCAUUCACAUAAUGCUUAAUUUCUCACAAAAAAAUUGUUGAGUAAAACUUUGCUGACGAUGACAACUCACCUUGGGACUCGGGAGGAGAUGCGUCGCUGCCAUCCUGGUCCGCCAUUUCUCCUGACGUCAGCAGAGAGGGAUCAGCAGCACGAGCCUCAGAGACCUGCCGCCCCGCACACACACACGGACAGAAUGUGCCGGCUUACCCCCCCAGACCCCCAGAAUGAUGUCUGCUGAUUGGUGCAUGGAAGACUGUAACCAGGGCAACCAGCUGUUUGGAAAUUUCUCUGAUGGAGGAGGAGUCGUCGAGAGAUGUCGGCUUGCAGCUUACUUGCCUACUAGCUCCCGCAUUUGGAUCCUACCAACCUCCUGACACGGAACAGUCCAUAUACAGCAGAUAGUUCUUACUGCUUUGUUUGCUGUAUUUAAAAGAAACUGGUUGGCAGUUGUAUGGCGCUGAACACAACCCAAAGUAGUGGUACUGGAAGUGAAAUUCUGAAUCUCUGGCAAGAAGACAUGAUUGUAACUGAAUUUAAAUCUGUGACAUGAUUGGUUGUCCUU